rnacentral:rRNA from 1 species
CAGUAGCCGCGGUAAUACAGAGGGUGCGAGCGUUAAUCGGAUUUACUGGGCGUAAAGCGUGCGUAGGCGGCUUCUUAAGUCGGAUGUGAAAUCCCUGAGCUUAACUUAGGAAUUGCAUUCGAUACUGGGAAGCUAGAGUAUGGGAGAGGAUGGUAGAAUUCCAGGUGUAGCGGUGAAAUGCGUAGAGAUCUGGAGGAAUACCGAUGGCGAAGGCAGCCAUCUGGCCUAAUACUGACGCUGAGGUACGAAAGCAUGGGGAGCAAACAGGAUUAGAUACCCCUGUACUCCCUGUCUCUUAUAC